AAAUGAUCCUAUUCCAUUACCAACUCAUUUAAAACAUCAAGAUAUUCUUUUCUUGCACUUAAUACUUCGGAGUUUAUUUUUAUUCUUUGACAAAAUUAUGUGUACACCUACACUCACAUUACCAUAAAAAAAAUAAAAGAAAAAAAUCAUCUAUUUCAGUAGAACAAUUUGUGAAAUUUCAAAUCAUUUUCAUUUACUAAAAAU
rnacentral:lncRNA from 1 species